GAGCUUGCUCUCGGGUGACGAGCGGCGGACGGGUGAGUAAUGUCUGGGAAACUGCCUGAUGGAGGGGGAUAACUACUGGAAACGGUAGCUAAUACCGCAUAACGUCGCAAGACCAAAGUGGGGGACCUUCGGGCCUCAUGCCAUCAGAUGUGCCCAGAUGGGAUUAGCUAGUAGGUGGGGUAACGGCUCACCUAGGCGACGAUCCCUAGCUGGUCUGAGAGGAUGACCAGCCACACUGGAACUGAGACACGGUCCAGACUCCUACGGGAGGCAGCAGUGGGGAAUAUUGCACAAUGGGCGCAAGCCUGAUGCAGCCAUGCCGCGUGUGUGAAGAAGGCCUUCGGGUUGUAAAGCACUUUCAGCGGGGAGGAAGGCGAUAAGGUUAAUAACCUUGUCGAUUGACGUUACCCGCAGAAGAAGCACCGGCUAACUCCGUGCCAGCAGCCGCGGUAAUACGGAGGGUGCAAGCGUUAAUCGGAAUUACUGGGCGUAAAGCGCACGCAGGCGGUCUGUCAAGUCGGAUGUGAAAUCCCCGGGCUCAACCUGGGAACUGCAUUCGAAACUGGCAGGCUAGAGUCUUGUAGAGGGGGGUAGAAUUCCAGGUGUAGCGGUGAAAUGCGUAGAGAUCUGGAGGAAUACCGGUGGCGAAGGCGGCCCCCUGGACAAAGACUGACGCUC
rnacentral:rRNA from 1 species